GACGAACGCUGGCGGCGUGCUUAGCACAUGCAAGUCGAACGGAAAGGCCCUGCUUUUGUGGGGUGCUCGAGUGGCGAACGGGUGAGUAACACGUGAGUAACCUGCCCUUGACUUUGGGAUAACUUCAGGAAACUGUGGCUAAUACCGGAUAGGAGCUCCUGCUGCAUGGUGGGGGUUGGAAAGUUUCGGCGGUUGGGGAUGGACUCGCGGCUUAUCAGCUUGUUGGUGGGGUAGUGGCUUACCAAGGCUUUGACGGGUAGCCGGCCUGAGAGGGUGACCGGCCACAUUGGGACUGAGAUACGGCCCAGACUCCUACGGGAGGCAGCAGUGGGGAAUAUUGCACAAUGGGCGGAAGCCUGAUGCAGCAACGCCGCGUGCGGGAUGACGGCCUUCGGGUUGUAAACCGCUUUCGCCUGUGACGAAGCGUGAGUGACGGUAAUGGGUAAAGAAGCACCGGCUAACUACGUG
rnacentral:rRNA from 1 species